rnacentral:rRNA from 1 species
CCUANGGGAGGCUGCAGUGAGGAAUAUUGGUCAAUGGGCGUAAGCCUGAACCAGCCAUCCCGCGUGAAGGAAGAAGGCGCUAUGCGUCGUAAACUUCUUUUCCGGAGGAAGAAAACCCCCGACGAGUCGGGGCUUGCCGGUACUCUGGGAAUAAGCAUCGGCUAACUCCGUGCCAGCAGCCGCGGUAAUACGGAGGAUGCGAGCGUUAUCCGGAUUUAUUGGGUUUAAAGGGUGCGUAGGCGGAUUAAUAAGUCAGUGGUGAAAACCUGCAGCUUAACUGUAGAACUGCCAUUGAUACUGUUAGUCUUGAGUACGGUCAAGGUAGGCGGAAUGUGUCAUGUAGCGGUGAAAUGCUUAGAUAUGACACAGAACACCGAUCGCGAAGGCAGCUUACCAAGCAAUAACUGACGCUCAUGCACGAAAGCGUGGGGAUCAAACAGGAUUAGAUACCCUANUANUC